rnacentral:rRNA from 1 species
GUGGGGAAUAUUGCACAAUGGGCGCAAGCCUGAUGCAGCAACGCCGCGUGAGGGACGACGGCCUUCGGGUUGUAAACCUCUUUUAGCAGGGAAGAAGCGAAAGUGACGGUACCUGCAGAAAAAGCACCGGCUAACUACGUGCCAGCAGCCGCGGUAAUACGUAGGGUGCAAGCGUUGUCCGGAAUUAUUGGGCGUAAAGAGCUCGUAGGCGGUUUGUCGCGUCUGCUGUGAAAACCCGAGGCUCAACCUCGGGCCUGCAGUGGGUACGGGCAGACUAGAGUGCGGUAGGGGAGAUUGGAAUUCCUGGUGUAGCGGUGGAAUGCGCAGAUAUCAGGAGGAACACCUAUGGCGAAGGCAGAUCUCUGGGCCGUAACUGACGCUGAGGAGCGAAAGCGUGGGGAGCGAACAGGAUUAGAAACCCCUGUAGUCC